GGCCGGAUAGCUCAGUUGGUUGGAGCAUUGUUCUGAUACACCAAGGUUGCGGGUUUGAUCCCUGGUCAGGGCA
rnacentral:tRNA from 1 species